rnacentral:rRNA from 1 species
UACGUAGGUGACAAGCGUUGUCCGGAUUUACUGGGCGUAAAGAGCGCGCAGGCGGUCGAUUAAGUCGAGUGUGAAAGCCCCCGGCUCAACUGGGGAGGGUCAUUCGAUACUGAUCGACUCGAAGGCAGGAGAGGGUAGUGGAAUUCCCGGUGUAGUGGUGAAAUGCGUAGAUAUCGGGAGGAACACCAGUGGCGAAAGCGGCGACCUGGACAGGUACUGACACUCAGCUGCGAAAGCGUGGGGAGCAAACAGG